GUGAGUUUCUGAACCUACGGUUUCCGGUGUUGGACCUAAGGUUUUAUCUGUUGAUUGAAGGCCGAUCUUCUCCGCUCGCGAAGAAGGAGGGUAACUCUGUCCUUAUUUUGAGUAUUGUAUGCUUUGUAUGAGAACUCUGGUUCCGUUAUGCUUUGCUUACCGAAACUAUUUUCUUUUCAAAUUGGUUCAUUAAUCAUGGCUUCUAAUACGAAUGCUAGUACCUCCUUAGUGGACUCUACCAGCCCCCUUUUUGUUUACUCCUCUGAUGUUCCUGGGGUCUCUCUUGUGCCCACUCCCUUCUCGGGCAGUGGUUAUGGGGGUUGGAGGAGGAAAAUGAUUGUCGCGUUAUCUGCUAAAAACAAAAUUGGUUUUGUUGAUG
rnacentral:lncRNA from 1 species